rnacentral:rRNA from 1 species
UACGUAGGGUGCAAGCGUUGUCCGGAAUUAUUGGGCGUAAAGAGCUCGUAGGCGGUUUGUCGCGUCUGCUGUGAAAAUCCAGGGCUUAACCCUGGACCUGCAGUGGGUACGGGCAGACUGGAGUGCGGUAGGGGAGAUCGGAAUUCCUGGUGUAGCGGUGAAAUGCGCAGAUAUCAGGAGGAACACCGGUGGCGAAGGCGGAUCUCUGGGCCGUAACUGACGCUGAGGAGCGAAAGCUAGGGUAGCAGACAGG